CCUACGGGUGGCAGCAGUGGGGAAUAUUGGACAAUGGGGGGAACCCUGAUCCAGCGACGCCGCGUGAGUGAAGAAGUAUUUCGGUAUGUAAAGCUCUAUCAGCAGGGAAGAAAGAAAUGACGGUACCUGACUAAGAAGCCCCGGCUAACUACGUGCCAGCAGCCGCGGUAAUACGUAGGGGGCAAGCGUUAUCCGGAUUUACUGGGUGUAAAGGGCGUGUAGCCGGGCUGACAAGUCAGAUGUGAAAUCCGGGGGCUCAACCCCCGAACUGCAUUUGAAACUGUGGGUCUUGAGUAUCGGAGAGGCAGGCGGAAUUCCUAGUGUAGCGGUGAAAUGCGUAGAUAUUAGGAGGAACACCAGUGGCGAAGGCGGCUUACUGGACUGCAACUGACGUUGAGGCUCGAAAGCGUGGGGAGCAAACAGGAUUAGAUACCCUUGUAGUC
rnacentral:rRNA from 1 species